CUUGAGACUAGAGUCACAUCCUGACAUGGUACUUGUCUUGGUGUGCUAGAGUUCUCAAAAAGAAUCUACUGGUCUUGAUUCACUGAUGGGGGAUGGCAGUGCCCCCAUUAAUGCCUAGAUCAGAAACAUGC
ensembl:snoRNA